rnacentral:tRNA from 1 species
GGGGUUGUGGCUCAGUGGUAGAGCACAUGCCUUGCAUGUGUGAGGCACUGGGUUUGAUCCUCAGCACCACA